rnacentral:rRNA from 1 species
CAGUCGCCGCGGGAACACGAAGGGUGCAAGCGUUACUCGGAACUACUGGGCGUAGAGCGUGCGUAGGUGGUGGUUUAAGUCCGUUGUGAAAGCCCUGGGCUCAACCUUGGAACUGCAUUUUUAACUACCGGACUAGAGUAUGUCAGAGGGAGGUGGAAUUCCACGUGUAGCAGCGAAAUGCGUAGAUAUGUGGAGGAACACCGAUGGCGAGGGCAGCCUCCUGGGAUAAUACUGACGCUCAUGCACGAAAGCGUGGGGAGCAAACAGGAUUAGAUACCCGUGUAGUCCCUGUCUCUUAUAC